AAAAAAAAAAAGCAAAAAAAAAAAAAAAAAGAAAAAAAAAAUUGUUGCAGCGGAAGGAGCAAAAGCUAUUGCUAGAUUUGUGCUACCUCGAGAAAAUCCUGAAUCUUAUACUAGGACUAAUGCGGAAAGAUACAUGGACUCAUGGAGGUGAAAAUUUUGAGAUAUUUGCAUCUGAACGUCGAAGCUUUCAAGAAACUCUAAAAGAGAGCAAAGUUGAUAUCUUCAUUCGACAAAUUUUCUUGGUGUAAGAGGGCUUGUGAUUGGAGGAAACGUUGUGCAUAGAUCUUUUUGUGUAAAAGGUGUUUGAGAAAAAGCCGAGCCCAUCUUGAUGUGUUUUAAUGUUAGGAAGUGUAGGUAACCUGAACGAAUCAAUGACAAUCAAUCUGAGUCUUCCAAUUCCGGCACUCCUUCCUCAAUCAAUCCCUUUGAUCUUCUCAACGACCAAGAUGACCCUUAUGACCAGGUGUAAGUCAAUUCAAAGACAAACGGAGAGAAUACAAGAAAUCAAGAAAACUGAAAAGAAAAUGAUAUCCUUGUUUUCUGUCGAAGAGGUGAAUGUGGGGCCGUGAUUGCUAGAAAUCAGAUAAAAAUUCUGUGGAAGGAUGAUGACUACAUUGAACCCUGUUGAGCUUUUACCAGCAAGUUCAAUUCGUUGAUGUCAUUGAUGAUUGAAUCAUGGUUGUGAUAUCGUUAUUUUCAACUAUCAUUGAGUUAUGUUUGUAAAUGAGUUGUAUUGUUUCCAAGAGAGGUGGCACAGACUAAAUUCAGUUCUUUAUAUAUUAUCAAUAUUGAUGGUUUAGUUUGUCAA